UACAGUUAAGUAUCAAAAAUUGCAUGUGAUUAAAAACACGUUUUAAAACAAACUUGUUAAGUCAAAUUUUAAUAACAAAUGGUAUGUAAAUUCAGGGUUUUACAGGGAUGGUCAACAUUUCCAGAAACUACACAAAUGUUCAGUGAUAUCCCCAUGUGCAGUAAAGCUAGAUCGCUUCUUCUUCCACUUUUCUGGGGACCUCCAGCAGCCGAUUUCUGCAUUCUUCCCAGCGCACAAUCUUUCCAUUCUCGACCAGUACAAAUUUCCAAUCCACCUGGAUGUACAUAGGAAAGAUGAUGCUGCAAAACCAGAAUCCAUCUUCUGCUUUCCUUAGAGGAACAUAACUCUUCCAGGCCCCGAGGUUAUGAUGGUUCCCUGUUACAGCUAGAGUUUGUCUUGGGGAUUGCAUCACAUAGUGAACUUUGAAUCUCACUCAUACAGUUUUUAUGUUCGGGAUCCUGGUUGAAAAGGCACCACUUUCAAAUUCCUCAACCAGUGAAUCUAGUGUGGCCUGGAAUUUUUGAUGAUGGACCUCUCUGGCUUUCUCCAGGUCAUCUGAUCUCUUCCAGAUCUCCACUUUAAGUUUUUUUUCAGUACCCAAAUUCAAGGACUUGCUCACUUUGGCUUUGUUUUGUUUUGGCUUUGAGUUAUUUGCAAAUGUUAAAGUUGCUGACUGAUGUACUUUACCUGAUUUCUUUGCAACACUGGUGCAAUGUUUCCUGGGUCUUGAGGUAUAUGAAUCAUUUGAGAUGAACUGUUCAUUGCUGCUUCUUGGGCUUCUCAGUAUCUUGUUUGCCUUAUCUUUUUGUUUCACAUUGCUGUUUGUUUUCUCUAAAUGGCUGGGCGUUUUGGAAUCCAGAUGCUGAUAAUCUGGAGAAUCCUGGUCUUCAAAUUCACCUGAUGCAUAUCCAUGAUGGCACGACAUGGUCAGGAUGAUAGAAGAAAAAAAGAGAAACUGUAAAAAGGAAAAUGUUCUGCUGACUGGUUUGCUGUAUAGUUGCAGUUAAUUCUUGAGUUUCAAUACAUUUGGAAUGGACUGUACAUAAUAGUGAAACACAUGCCACCAUUACUGAGUUCUCUGUUGGAUUUAGAUCUGCUGACUGGAGAGGCCACUAAAGAACACUGUCAUUAUCCUGGAACUAAUUUGAAUCAUCUUUUGCUUUGUGACUAAUGACUGUAUAUCAAAAUGUCUCUGAGAUACUGUAUGAAGUGCAAUUGUCAACCCCAUCCAUUCCCAUGAUGCUAGUGAAUGGGAAAGGAGCCAAACAUUUAUUUUAAGAUCUCCAAAAAUAAUUUUUGGGAAUAGACUUGUUUUUAUAAAUUCAGUUGGCCUUGAUAUCUCCCCAAUUGUUUUCUGCUACAGCAGAAUUGUUAAGUGAAAGAAUAAAAUAUAUGGAUGUUUGACUCAUA